rnacentral:lncRNA from 1 species
AAUCACACCAAAAACCUUAGUAUUUAGGUAAGAUAGCAAAAGUUAUAUAAAACUUACACGGUAAUCCCGUAUUUCAGAUCAAAUUCUCAUAACUAGCAUUUAAUAUCAUAACAAAAUAACAAGCUUCAGACGCGUCUGAACAAACACGUCUAAACUUAACAAAGAUCUUCUGCAUCUUAAAUCUAAACAAUUUUGGGUUAAUGUUUGCAUCAUUGACAGCAAAAUAAUAAACACAAUAAUAAUACAACUCCUUUGAUGAAAGAGACGCUUGGGAUACCCAGAAUUUUCCAUUGAAAAGACAAGGUUUAUUCAUCCACAAGGAAAAAUAUUACAAGACGGCUCCUAUUUCUAAGAAGCUGCAAAGAAGAAUUCUCAUUUUCUCUUUUCCUCGUAUUCUUUUGACACGCUCAUGCGUUAACUUCCAAUAGCUUCAUACAGAUAUUUGAUCUGCACCCUAAUAUUCAUUCUGCAGGCUGCACAGCAACAACACGUUCAUAAAAAUUUUACCGUUAGAGAGAUUAAUUAGCAUCUCAAUUUAGUUACAUCCAAGUCAAACUUGCAGCAGUUCGAUACCAAAGUUAUCUGGAAUUCCCUAGGCAGACCAGCUUAAUCUGACCUUUGCCUCAGCUGAAAUCCCUUGCAGACCUUUGCUCUUAACAUCCAAUUGCAUACAGUCGAUUCAUCAUACAAUAGAAGUUUAUUCGCCCCUGAAGUCAGAUUCAAACGUAGUAAGCAGUAGAAUUCAUCUUGAAACAACAUAAUAUAUGUGAUAGAAGAAAAGUAAAAUGCACUGGACAAAAGAAAAGUAAUAGAGGAAACGGGAGUUGAAAGAGAUAUAUAUUUCUUUGUAUAAUGUUGCAUGGCAAUAAGGAGACAUCUUUGAAAGUUAAGAGAGCUCUAGAACAAAAUCUGAGGACUAUUAUACUUAUUACUUUGACGCUACCACUAUUCAGAUAAUGCAUGUUAUACAUUCUUGUUCAAUUAAUCGAAGUUAUAGUCAGUUCUUUCAGGCAGCGGUGGAGCCAGGAUUUUAAUUAAGAGGAGUCAAAAUAUAAAUAAGCACACAAAGAAAUCAAGAGGAGUCAACGUAUAGUAUAUACACAUAAAAUUAAGAAUUUAACAUAUUUACACAGUGUAAUUUUCCGACGAAGGGGUAUCAAUUGACUCCCCUUGCCAAUGAGUGGCUCCGCCACUGCUUUCAGGCCCAGAAAAGCAAUUGAACAGAUUAUCCAAAUAUAUGCAACGUUGUACCACUGAUCCUCAAAGAUGAUUAAUAUAUGAAGCCGAUGAUAAACAGCUACACAUUUCUGUCUUUCUUACUCAAAGAAUUAGCCCUUGGAAAUAAAUAGUUCA